rnacentral:tRNA from 1 species
CAAAGAGUAGUUUAAGAUAAAAUAUUAAUUUUGGAGAUUAAUGAUGGGAAUGGCUUCUUUCUUUGA